rnacentral:sRNA from 1 species
GGGCGUUUCUCCGAGUGGGAGGGAAUUUUAUUGAUUAUACUCCGUAGUUCUGGAAUCGAUCGAGGUAUUUAGACUGAUUAAUUUGAUCCAGGAGCUCAAAUGGUUAGAGAUGUCUUGUUUCUGUCGGCAGGGUUUGUUCAAGCUGGGUUGCCUAAAUAAACAGAGGCCGGGCCUUUCCAUAUAGGAGGAGGUGGGGAUAGCUCCCGUUGGCUCCCAUUGGACUCCGAUGGUCAUCUUCUCUGUAUACAUAACUUGAUAACUUGAGCUGCGCAGGGAUCUUGAUAUUUUAUCCCUCCCUGGGAAUGCAUAGAUAGAGAGUGCCAUCCAGAUACGACCAGACACCGGAACGAGCUGCAGUUGGAUCCGCCCAAGUCUCCGCAGCUGGUCGGGAUAUGGCAUUGGGGCUUUACAGGGCUCUAAGAGAGGUUCCUUGAGGAUUUAUGUCUUCCUCGCACAGAGGGAGCAUCGAAAAGAAGCAUACAGAUUGCAGGAACCAGCUUCGGUCGACUGUGCUUUUAUCUGCUUUUCAGUGGAUUUAUAUAUAUAUAUAUAUAUAUAUAAAGAAAUACAAGC